UAGGUAUCCUAAUCACAUACUUCCACACAAACAGUAGGUAUCCUAAUCACAUACUUCCACACAAACAGUAGGUAUCCUAAUCACAUACUUCCACACAAACAGUAGGUAUCCUACGCACAUACUUCCACACAAACAGUAGGUAUCCUACGCACAUACUUCCACACAAACAGUAGGUAUCCUACGCACAUACUUCCACACAAACAGUAGGUAUCCUACGCACAUACUUCCACACAAACAGUAGGUAUCCUACGCACAUACUUCCACACAAACAGUAGGUAUCCUACGCACAUACUUCCACACAAACAGUAGGUAUCCUACGCACAUACUUCCACACAAACAGUAGGUAUCCUACGCACAUACUUCCACACAAACAGUAGGUAUCCUACGCACAUACUUCCACACAAACAGUAGGUAUCCUACGCACAUACUUCCACACAAACAGUAGGUAUCCUACGCACAUACUUCCACACAAACAGUAGGUAUCCUACGCACAUACUUCCACACAAACAGUAGGUAUCCUACGCACAUACUUCCACACAAACAGUAGGUAUCCUACGCACAUACUUCCACACAAACAGUAGGUAUCCUACUCACAUACUUCCACACAAACAGUAGGUAUCCUACGCACAUACUUCCACACAAACAGUAGGUAUCCUACGCACAUACUUCCACACAAACAGUAGGUAUCCUACGCACAUACUUCCACACAAACAGUAGGUAUCCUACGCACAUACUUCCACACAAACAGUAGGUAUCCUACGCACAUACUUCCACACAAACAGUAGGUAUCCUACGCACAUACUUCCACACAAACAGUAGGUAUCCUACGCACAUACUUCCACACAAACAGUAGGUAUCCUACGCACAUACUUCCACACAAACAGUAGGUAUCCUACGCACAUACUUCCACACAAACAGUAGGUAUCCUACGCACAUACUUCCACACAAACAGUAGGUAUCCUACGCACAUACUUCCACACAAACAGUAGGUAUCCUACGCACAUACUUCCACACAAACAGUAGGUAUCCUACGCACAUACUUCCACACAAACAGUAGGUAUCCUACGCACAUACUUCCACACAAACAGUAGGUAUCCUACGCACAUACUUCCACACAAACAGUAGGUAUCCUACGCACAUACUUCCACACAAACAGUAGGUAUCCUACGCACAUACUUCCACACAAACAGUAGGUAUCCUACGCACAUACUUCCACACAAACAGUAGGUAUCCUACGCACAUACUUCCACACAAA